UGCGGAGGGAUCAUUAGUGAGCCACCUGCUCUCUAACCUUUUAAACCCCUGUGAACUGUGGAUACUGUUGGCCAGUCGGAUAAUAUUUGUUGCCUCGGUGGGCGACCCCUGGGAGGGGUUCGUAGGCUGCUUGCCACGUGCAGCAGCGCCCGCCGGUAGGAGGCGCUUUGCAACUUCUUUUAUACAGCCUACACUUGGGUUGGUAUUUCUCUGAGUUAUCAAAUUUAAAUCAAUCAAAACUUUCAACAACGGAUCUCUUGGCUCCGGCAACGAUGAAGAACGCAGCGAACUGCGAUAAGUAAUGCGAAUCGCAGAGCCUUAGUGAGUCAUCGAAUUUUUGAACGCACAUUGCGCCCGCCAGUAUUCUGGCAGGCAUGCCUGUCCGAGCGUCGUUUACACAACCUUCAGGGGGUCUUUUCUUAGUUGAAUAGGCAGUAUCCUGGUGUUGAGGAAGCUCAUGCGUUACUGGGUAACCCCCAGGACCGGAGCUCCUUCAAAACGAGUGGGCGGUUCUAUAGGGAGAAUUACUCAAGCGUAGUAAAAAAACUUACGAAUCGUUUGAGAAUCAGGGCCUAUUGGGAACCAGCCGUUAAAACUCAGUCAGAACUUUGCUCUGGUGAAGCAACGACUAAAUUUUGUCGACCUCGGAUCAGGUAGGAAUACCCGCUGAACUUAAGCAUAUCAAUAAGCGGAGGAAAAGAAACCAACAGGGAUUGCCUCAGUAACGGCGAGUGAAGCGGCAACAGCCCAGAUUUGAAAUCCGGUUCUUUCAGUAAGAAUCUGAGUUGUAAUCUGUAGAGGAUGUCGCUGGCUACUAGUAUCUCCGAAGUCCCCCUGGAACGGGGCGCCGCAGAGGGUGAGAGUCCCGUGCGGAGAUGGCUAGAUAGUCAAUGUGCGACUCCUUCGGCGAGUCGAGUAGUUUGGGAAUGCUGCUCUAAAUGGGAGGUAAAUUCCUUCUAAGGCUAAAUAUCGGCCGGAGACCGAUAGCGCACAAGUAGAGUGAUCGAAAGAUGAAAAGCACUUUGAAAAGAGGGUUAAACAGUACGUGAAAUUGUUGAAAGGGAAGCGCCCGCGACCAGACUUGUCUGUAGUCAAUCGCCCUACGCUUGUCGUGGGGUCUCUUGACUGCGGUUUACAGGCCAGCAUCGAUUCUCGCUAGGGGAGAAGCGCAGCGGGAAUGUAGCUCCUUUCGGGGAGUGUUAUAGCCUGUUGCUUGACACCCUGGCUGGGGAUCGAGGCCCGCGUUCCGACAAGGAUGCUGGCAUAAUGGUCGCUGGCGACCCGUCUUGAAACACGGACCAAGGAGUCGAGGUUUUCCGCGAGUGUGUGGGUGAUAAACCCGCGCGCGGAAUGAAAGUGAACGUAGGUGAGAGUCUUCUCAGGGAGAUGCAUCACCGACCGAUCCCGAUGUUUUAACGGAGGGUAUCGAGUAUGAGCGGGGAGCCUCGGACCCGAAAGAUGACGAACUAUGCCUGCAUAGAAUGAAGCCAGAGGAAACUCUGGUGGAGGUUCGCAGCGGUUCUGACGUGCAAAUCGAUCGUCAAAUGUGGGCAUGGGG
rnacentral:rRNA from 1 species